CACCAGGAGUGGAGCCUGCGGCUUAAUUUGACUCAACACGGGGAAACUUACUAGAUUAGAACUCUGGAAUGAUUGACAGAUUGAUAGCUCUUUCUUGAUUCAGAGGAUGGUGGUGCAUGGCCGUUCUUGAUUCGUAUUCCGAAACGUCUGCUUAAUUGCGAUAACGAGUGAGACCUCCUGAUGUUAACUAGUUGCUCGGUGCGCUAGGGACGCAAAAGUCGUCUAGCCGUUCUAGUGUGCGGUUGCCCUCGGGUGGCCGUACGCACCGGUUAGCGAUGUCCUCUGCUCGCCAGCAGACUUCUUAGCACGAUUUGCAGCAAAAAGCUGCCAGAGACGAGGCAAUAACAGGUCUGUGAUGCCCUUAGAUAUUCUAGGCCGCACGCGUGCUACAAUGGCGUGUGCAGAGAGCUUGUUCGAGGUUCGUCCGGAGAGAACUGCUUGUUUGGUUGAUAGUUGGGGCAACCUGGCUGUUGAUCGGCUUGUAAGUGACUCCGGUUCCCGAGCUAAGAGAAACCGCUGCCGAAAGGUAGUGGCAAUCAGAAAUACACGCCGUGAUUUGGGAUUGGGGAUUGCAAUUGUUGCCCAUGAACGAGGAAUUCCCAGUAAGCGCAAUUCAUCAUAUUGCGUUGAUUACGUCCCUGCCCUUUGUACACACCGCCCGUCGCUACUACCGAUUGGAAGUUUUAGUGAGGCAUCUGGACUUGCUGGCCAGGAGGAGGGCAACCUCCUCAGGCUUGGCGGGGAAGUUUGUCGAACUCAAAUUUCUAGAGGAAGUAA
rnacentral:rRNA from 1 species